GGAUUAAGAGCUUGCUCUUAUGAAGUUAGCGGCGGACGGGUGAGUAACACGUGGGUAACCUGCCCAUAAGACUGGGAUAACUCCGGGAAACCGGGGCUAAUACCGGAUAACAUUUUGAACCGCAUGGUUCGAAAUUGAAAGGCGGCUUCGGCUGUCACUUAUGGAUGGACCCGCGUCGCAUUAGCUAGUUGGUGAGGUAACGGCUCACCAAGGCAACGAUGCGUAGCCGACCUGAGAGGGUGAUCGGCCACACUGGGACUGAGACACGGCCCAGACUCCUACGGGAGGCAGCAGUAGGGAAUCUUCCGCAAUGGACGAAAGUCUGACGGAGCAACGCCGCGUGAGUGAUGAAGGCUUUCGGGUCGUAAAACUCUGUUGUUAGGGAAGAACAAGUGCUAGUUGAAUAAGCUGGCACCUUGACGGUACCUAACCAGAAAGCCACGGCUAACUACGUGCCAGCAGCCGCGGUAAUACGUAGGUGGCAAGCGUUAUCCGGAAUUAUUGGGCGUAAGCGCGCGCAGGUGGUUUCUUAAGUCUGAUGUGAAAGCCCACGGCUCACCGUGGAGGGUCAUUGGAAACUGGGAGACUUG
rnacentral:rRNA from 1 species